GUAGGGCUGAACUGGGAGUAAGCCUGAAGGGCAGUCCCAGGAGCACAUUGAGUAGGGCUGAACUAGGAGUAAGCCUGAAGGUCAGCGCAAGGGCCAGCCCCAGGAGUAGUUGCUUGUGAGGAUAAAAACCCCAGGGUGGGGUGUGGUAUAGAGGCCCUAGAGUGGGCAUAGUAGGAACCCCAUGUGUAGGGAAGAGGCCAAGGUACGGUCAUGGACACCUGAGGCCCUAGUUUGGGCUAAAGGCCAAAUUGGGGGACUCAGCCAGAGAGUUAGGGGCGAGUCCUGACCCUGGUAAGUUCCUCCAUCGCAAGAAGGCCCAGUGUGGGUCAAAAGAACGACCUAAAAGUUGAGCAAAAUGAGGGAGGGAGUAAGAGUCCCUGUGAGACCCUGGAGCACCAGUUGUGGUGUGGGUUAUGAACAUCAUGUGGAUGCCAUCUGUGAGGCAUAGGCUGCAGUGUAGGGGAGGCUCUGGAGCCAGAAGUAACGCCCCCUGGCAUUGGGGCAGAAAAUGGGCAGCCUCCCGCCUAAUUAAGACACCAAUUAUUGAACAAGGCGUGGCAGAUGAGAGAGGCGGGCGGUUAGCCCAGAAGCAGGUGGGCAGGCCAACUCCUAAUCAGCCCCAGGAAGGUCCCUGGUUACAAGAAUCCUGAGCUUUUUAGGACCCGAGGAGGCACUUGUCUCUCAAUCUUUCAGGUAACAGUCUAAACCUGUGAGUGUGAAGGUAAAAGUCAAGCAGGAGUUUUUGGUGAGGAGAAGCUGAUCCUUUCUCCCUUGUUUCCUGGGAAAGGUGAGAAGCCCCACUCCAAGAAGUUCUUCCUUAAGGGACUCUGUGACCACCCGCACGCUCAAUGGUGGACUGGAAGUACUUCUGGUCCACUUCCGGGUUCACCGCUGACCUCACAAAGGUCCCUGCUGUGCUCCUGUGGGACGCUCCAUCUGCCCCACCAUCACAGUGUUUGAGAGCCAUGCCUGGUACCUUGAGAGUUGAAAUAGAAUGCAGCAGAGAAGGCCUGGGUGUUCCUUGAACAAUGAGGAGAAAAUAAAAUACUAACCAGUACCCAUGUGGAUUCCAAGCCUGCCCACUGAAGUCUCCUUGUGCUGAGGCAAUAAAAAGAGAUGUCCUCUUGCUUAUCCUCUAUUUGCUCUCAGAGUCCCAUAUUACAUUCAACUCAAAGGAAGAAAGGAAGGAAGGCAGAAUGAAAAUGUGGGGUGGUCACACAUCUCAAAGAACUCCAGGUACAGGAAAGAUCUUUCCAUCCAGAUAGUCUUUGUCAUCAUUCUUCUCUGAACACUCUCUAGUUUUACAAUAGUCAUUUUGAGGAAUAGCACAGAGUAUUCCAGAUGAGGCCACACUCUUCACUUAUCAUAUUCUUACUAUAACAGGACCAGAUGCAACAGUGAACAGACAACAGCCUUCUGCUUUGCAGUCAGACCAAACUACUGAGCCAGUAGCCGAAUGAAAACAGCCAUUUCUUGGCACAUUUGAUGGUAUUUUAAUGUCCUUUGCACUGCAUUUGAAUUGCGCAACUCGCACAGCUCACAUACCCUACAGUGAAUACUGGUUGCUUUGACAGUAAUUAAAAAGAAAAGUUAGGGAGGGUGGUUAUGCUAAAUCUAAUAAAGUCAAUAAAGAAAACUUCAUAGACUAAGUGGAUUCAAUGGAGGGAUGGAAUGGGUUAUUCAGACCCCCAGAGAGUCAUCCAUUAUAAAAAUUUAUAAUACCAGAACAUUGCAGGAUGCCAAAAGGGGAAGAAAUAAUGUGAAAUGAUGACAAAGUUGGAUGCACUGCAUGAGUUCCGGGAGCAAUAGCCAGAUAAUGAAAGUGCCAAGAUCUCUACAUUUGACAAAUCUUUGGCCUUGUUUGGAGAGACUUUUCUUUGGGAUGUGUGUUUUGUUUUUUUUUUUCCCUUUCUUUGUUUGUUUUUAAAUUCUACCAAGAAAGUGAAAAUAAGGUUAAAGGAAACCAAAUCUCCACUUACAAUGUGUGAUUGAAGACAUCACCCUACACUCUGAGCAGGGGUGGAUUAGCGCAUGGGCCCUUGCCAAUCAGGGUCCCCCAGAGAUGCCAGGGGGAGCAUGGCCCAGGCAGGCAUACUGGCCGCGGGCAUCCGGGGCAGGCAGCAUGUGUCUUCUCCCUUCCGGCUAGGUCAUGGCCAGGGGCUAGGGACAGGUACAGAGCUCCAUGUGGGCACCAGCAAGUUCCCGGGGCCGUCUGCUGCCAGGAGACCCCAUAGGUGGCUCUGCUCCUGCUCUCACUCUCUGCCGUCUGUGGGUAGCUGCCGGCAUUAGUGCUGCUGAGACAGCCCCACCCCGCCAGAGCCAUUAGAGGGGAAGGCGGGCAGCCGGGGGCAGUGCAGAGCUCAUGUCCUGCCCUAGCCCCCACCCAUGUCUUGAUGCUGGGGAAGUAGCUGCAUGAUGCCUGCCAGGUACAGGAGUGGGUCAGGCUGGGGCUGCCUUCACCUCAGCAGCUCUUGCACCCCCUGGCUCACCCCAGAUGCACCGAAGAGGCCUGGCAGGCCCGGCUGCAGCCCCCCAGUGGGCUCAGAGGGAACCUGCCCUAGCCUGGUAGGGGGCCUCCAAUUGUCUGUUUAUCCAGGGCCCCAGGAAAUCUUAAUCCACCACUGGUGGUGUGAUGCUGGGGCUGGAAACUGUAGUCAGUACAAAGAAAUUCUGAUUUGCUAUAAACCACUUUCUUAGGACACUGGUUCUCAACCUUUUUAGACUGAAGACAUGCCUCAGUAGACUUGAGGUACCCCACAGAAAAUGCCAGCACUUAGUUUUCGCUCACUUUUUUAACUAUAGAAAAAGAACAGAGAAAUUCUUCUUGUCUGCAAAGAACAGAAAGACCAGAACAAAUCAGAAUGUUUUUAAUGCUAUGGAUUCCUGUUUGAAGUCUCUUGGUUUAUCUUGUGGCUCAUGUUUGUACACCUGACAGUGCUAACACUGCAUGGCACCCUGUGACAUCACUGUUCUAGAAGAAGGCAGUGCCCUGACUAGUCUCUGAUUGUCUCCCACCCAAAAGCUCUUUUUUCCUUCAGGUUAGAAAGUCCUACUAAGCCUGAGAAGCAAAGCUAUUGACCACAGUCUCCACUGCAGACCUUUUGGCAAUCUUUUUUUUUAAACUUGCUGAGGCCUGGAUAUGAAUUACAUGGAGAUAAGGAUCAAGGUCUUGAACUUGACUCAGUUUUCUGUGGGAAGAGAUCAGCAGGUUUGAGUGGCUCCUGGUUGCUUGUGUUGCAGAGAAUAUGUGCUGAAGCUUUCUAUGUUAUGUUGUUAUUUCAUAAGGGUGCACCAACUCAUGCCUAAGGAUACAUGGCACUACUGUACUCUGCAUAGGAGAUGGGAUAAGAAAUGACAAAGGCAUAUAUAUAACUUUUUAAGGAAAAACCAUUUUUUUUUCUUUUUGUACAAUGUUAAGCACAGUGGGGCCCUGCUCUUAGUUCAGGCUGUUAGGUGUUUACUAUGAUACAAACAAUAACAGUGACUGUAUUUUUAAUACCUAAGUUAUGCCUUGCAAAGGCCCAGUUAUGUGAUUUAAGUAUAGAGUGGCAAGCCUCAUUCUGAAUAUCCUUACUAGCACUUGUUUAAAUUAUAGCAUUAAUGUACUAUGUGUAUUUUAUUGGGUUCCUUAACUCGUGGAGUAAAUGGAAAUUAGAGCUUAACAAUAUGAAAAACACUGCACACAACUUUUAA